rnacentral:rRNA from 2 species
GGAUGCGAUCAUACCAGCACUAAAGCACCGGAUCCCAUCAGAACUCCGAAGUUAAUCGUGCUUGGGCGAGAGUAGUACUAGGAUGGGUGACCUCCUGGGAAGUCCUCGUGUUGCAUUCC